CUGCUGUUGCAGGGAAAUGAUGGACGGAAACGUUCUCAGGAUAUUUUUUCUCGUUUUUCCAGGAUGAAUACAAUCACGUGAUCAGAUUUUGUGACCACACGACCGAGCUCGUGUUUUAGUUUUUUAUUCCACACUUGCGGUCAUUUAGUGUCGGAGCUACUGGUGAUAAACGCUCGUGCUGACGGAGGAAACAGGACGACAGUUCUGCUCCGGACGAGCAGAAAGCAGAGACUGAGGAACUUCCCACCACAGAGCCAGAACCAGUGGA